rnacentral:rRNA from 1 species
AGAGUUUGAUCCUGGCUCAGGGCGAACGCUGGCGGCGUGCUUAACACAUGCAAGUCGAACGGGGCUCAUCGCUUCGGUGGUGGGUUCAGUGGCGAACGGGUGAGUAACACGUGGGCAACCUGCCUCCGGCUCUGGGAUAACUCCAAGAAAUUGGGGCUAAUACCGGAUAUGCACCGCUGGCCGCAUGGUCGGGUGGUGGAAAGGGUUUCCGGCUGGGGAUGGGCCCGCGGCCUAUCAGCUUGUUGGUGGGGUAGUGGCCUACCAAGGCGACGACGGGUAGCCGGCCUGAGAGGGUGACCGGCCACACUGGGACUGAGACACGGCCCAGACUCCUACGGGAGGCAGCAGUGGGGAAUAUUGCGCAAUGGGCGGAAGCCUGACGCAGCGACGCCGCGUGGGGGAUGACGGCCUUCGGGUUGUAAACCUCUUUCAGCAGGGACGAAGCCUUACGGUGACGGUACCUGCAGAAGAAGCACCGGCCAACUACGUGCCAGCAGCCGCGGUAAUACGUAGGGUGCAAGCGUUGUCCGGAAUUAUUGGGCGUAAAGAGCUCGUAGGCGGUUGGUCGCGUCGGCUGUGAAAACCCGGAGCUCAACUCCGGGCCUGCAGUCGAUACGGGCCGACUUGAGUGUUGCAGGGGAGACUGGAAUUCCUGGUGUAGCGGUGAAAUGCGCAGAUAUCAGGAGGAACACCGGUGGCGAAGGCGGGUCUCUGGGCAACAACUGACGCUGAGGAGCGAAAGCGUGGGGAGCGAACAGGAUUAGAUACCCUGGUAGUCCACGCCGUAAACGUUGGGCGCUAGGUGUGGGGGCCAUUCCACGGUCUCCGUGCCGCAGCUAACGCAUUAAGCGCCCCGCCUGGGGAGUACGGCCGCAAGGCUAAAACUCAAAGGAAUUGACGGGGGCCCGCACAAGCGGCGGAGCAUGUUGCUUAAUUCGAUGCAACGCGAAGAACCUUACCUAGGCUUGACAUGCGCGGAAAUCCCGCAGAGAUGUGGGGUCCGUAAGGGCCGUGCACAGGUGGUGCAUGGUUGUCGUCAGCUCGUGUCGUGAGAUGUUGGGUUAAGUCCCGCAACGAGCGCAACCCUCGUUCCAUGUUGCCAGCGGAUCAUGCCGGGGACUCAUGGGAGACUGCCGGGGUCAACUCGGAGGAAGGUGGGGAUGACGUCAAAUCAUCAUGCCCCUUAUGUCUAGGGCUGCAAACAUGCUACAAUGGCCGGUACAAAGGGCUGCGAUACCGCGAGGUGGAGCGAAUCCCAAAAAGCCGGUCUCAGUUCGGAUUGGGGUCUGCAACUCGACCCCAUGAAGUUGGAGUCGCUAGUAAUCGCAGAUCAGCAACGCUGCGGUGAAUACGUUCCCGGGCCUUGUACACACCGCCCGUCACGUCACGAAAGUCGGUAACGCCCGAAGCCGGUGGCCCAACCCUCUGGGAGGGAGCCGUCGAAGGCGGGAUCGGCGAUUGGGACGAAGUCGUAACAAGGUAAC